GAUGAACGCUGGCGGCGUGCUUAACACAUGCAAGUCGAACGAAGCAAUUUAGCGGAAGUUUUCGGAUGGAAGCUAGAUUGACUGAGUGGCGGACGGGUGAGUAACGCGUGGGUAACCUGCCUCACACUGGGGGACAACAGUUAGAAAUGACUGCUAAUACCGCAUAAGCGCACAGGACCGCAUGGUCCGGUGUGAAAAACUCCGGUGGUGUGAGAUGGACCCGCGUUUGAUUAGCUAGUUGGUGGGGUAACGGCCUACCAAGGCGACGAUCAAUAGCCGACCUGAGAGGGUGACCGGCCACAUUGGGACUGAGACACGGCCCAAGCUCCUACGGGAGGCAGCAGUGGGGAAUAUUGCACAAUGGGGGAAACCCUGAUGCAGCGACGCCGCGUGAGUGAAGAAGUAUUUCGGUAUGUAAAGCUCUAUCAGCAGGGAAGAAAAUGACGG
rnacentral:rRNA from 1 species